rnacentral:lncRNA from 1 species
AAAGCGGUAUUACAUGCAAAUUAAGAAAAUAAAGCGAUAAUAGUAAUGCAAACCUGUUUGCAAUCGAAUUGCAACCUUGAAUUGGCGAGCCGGAUUGAGUUGGGCGGCGGUAGCUUCGGAGCGGGUGAGCGGCCUUCAGGGUUUCCGCCUUCCGAACUCUUUGGAUCAGCAGGGUUUCGGUGCUAGGGUUUCCGUCCUUUUCCGUCCGUCUUCGUCCGUCUGUGUGUGUCUGUUUUCGUGGCAGAGGAGCUGGUAUUUAUAGUAGUAGUGGUGGUGACCUAAUGGGCUUAAAAUGAGGUCCAAAAUUUCAGAAUUUCGCAAGCUU